UACGGAGGGUGCAAGCGUUAAUCGGAAUUACUGGGCGUAAAGCGCGCGUAGGCGGCUGGAUAAGUCGAUUGUGAAAGCCCCGGGCUCAACCUGGGAAUUGCAGUCGAGACUGUUCGGCUAGAGUGUGGGAGAGGGCAGUGGAAUUCCCGGUGUAGCGGUGAAAUGCGUAGAUAUCGGGAGGAACAUCAGUGGCGAAGGCGACUAACUGGACAUGUAUUGACGCUGAGGUGCGAAAGCGUGGGGAGCAAACAGG
rnacentral:rRNA from 1 species